rnacentral:lncRNA from 1 species
GCAAUUUGACAUAAGAGGGAAUGACUUGCUCCUUACCGCAGUCUUCAAGAAUUUGUUUCUUGGUUUUUCUCAGAAUAGAACCUUCAUCAAUCAAUUUUUCUUUCUUUUCAACUUCUCCCUCACUAGUUCCCUUAACCCCAUUCUCACUUUUUUCUUCUUCAACUCUCUCAUUUUCAACUUCAACCUCAUCUACAAUCAACCACUCAUUUUCAACUUCUCCCUCCCCCUCACUUUUCUUUUCUACUUCCACUUUUUUUUUAUUUUCUCUCUUAGUGUCAACUACAGAUGGCACAACUCUACUU